AGAGUGGACUUACCGCUGGUGUACCAGUUGUCUCGCCAGAGGCAUCGCUGGGUAGCUAUGUAGGGAAGGGAUAAACGCUGAAAGCAUCUAAGUGUGAAACCCACCUCAAGAUGAGAUUUCCCAUAACAUAAAGUUAGUAAGAGCCCUGAGAGAAGAUCAGGUAGAUAGGUUGGAAGUGGAAGUGUGGUGACACAUGUAGCGGACCAAUACUAAUCGCUCGAGGACUUAUCCAA
rnacentral:rRNA from 1 species